AGUGAACGCUGGCGGUAGGCCUAACACAUGCAAGUCGAACGGCAACACAGUAAGAGCUUGCUCUUACGGGUGGCGAGUGGCGGACGGGUGAGGAAUACAUCGGAAUCUAAUUUUUCGUGGGGGAUAACGUAGGGAAACUUACGCUAAUACAGCAUACCACCUACGGGUGAAAGUAGGGGAUCUUCGGACCUUUCGCGAUUGAAUGAGCCGAUGUCGGACUAGCUAGUUGGCGGGGUAAAGGCCCACCAAGGCGACGAUCCGUAGCUGGUCUGAGAGGAGGAUCGGCCACACUGGAACUUAGACACGGUCCAGACUCCUACGGGAGGCAGCAGUGGGGAAUAUUGGACAAUGGGCGCAAGCCUGAUCCAGCCAUACCGCGUGGGUGAAGAAGGCCUUCGGGUUGUAAAGCCCUUUUGUUGGGAAAGAAAAGCAGCAGGUUAAUACCCCGCUGUUCUGACGGUACCCAAAGAAUAAGCACCGGCUAACUUCGUG
rnacentral:rRNA from 1 species